rnacentral:rRNA from 1 species
UACGAAGGGGGCAAGCGUUGUUCGGAAUCACUGGGCGUAAAGGGCGCGUAGGCGGCCCUCUUAGUCGCGUGUGAAAGCCCCGGGCUCAACCUGGGAACGGCGCGCGAAACGGGAGGGCUGGAGUUCGGGAGAGGAGAGUGGAAUUCCCAGUGUAGAGGUGAAAUUCGUAGAUAUUGGGAAGAACACCGGUGGCGAAGGCGGCUCUCUGGGCCGAUACUGACGCUGAGGAGCGAAAGCGUGGGGAGCGAACAGG